rnacentral:rRNA from 1 species
UACGAAGGGGGCUAGCGUUGCUCGGAAUGACUGGGCGUAAAGGGCGCGUAGGCGGCCACCGCAAGUCGACUGUGAAAUCUCUGGGCUUAACCCAGAACGGUCAGCCGAUACUGCGGGGCUAGAGUGCAGAAGGGGCAACUGGAAUUCUCGGUGUAGCGGUGAAAUGCGUAGAUAUCGAGAGGAACACCUGCGGCGAAGGCAGGUCUCUGGGCCACUACUGACGCUGAGAAGCGAAAGCAUGGGGGAGCGAACAGG